GGGCGAGUGAAACCCCGUGAAACGGCAAAAAAGGGACUUAAAAUCCCUUGUUCUUCGGGACGUGCCGGUUCGAUUCCGGCCUCGGGCACCA
rnacentral:tRNA from 1 species